UAAUACGUAGGGGGCAAGCGUUGUCCGGAAUCACUGGGCGUAAAGGGCGCGUAGGCGGUUUGUUAAGUCAGGUGUGAAAGUUUUCAGCUUAACUGGAAAAGUGCACUUGAAACUAACUUACUUGAGUACUGGAGAGGUAAGCGGAAUUCCUAGUGUAGCGGUGAAAUGCGUAGAUAUUAGGAAGAACACCGGUGGCGAAGGCGGCUUACUGGACAGAGACUGACGCUGAGGCGCGAAAGCGUGGGGAGCGAACAGG
rnacentral:rRNA from 1 species